rnacentral:rRNA from 1 species
AAGCAGACCCCGGAUGGAAGGCAGCCUGUAAGGGUGAACAGACGCUGAGGCACGAAAGCUGGGUAUCGAACAGGAUUAGAUACCCUGUAGUCCACGCAGUAAACGAAGAAUACCAACGGUUCGCGAUACAACGUAAGCGGUACAGCGAAAGCGUUAAGUAAUCCACCUGGGGAGUACGCCGGCAACGGUGAAACUCAAAGGAAUUGACGGGGGCCCGCACAAGCGGAGGAACAUGUGGUCUAAUUCGAUGAUACGCGAGGAACCUUACCCGGGCUCAAACGCAGGGGGAAUAUAUAUGAAAGUAUAUAGCUAGCAAUAGUCACCUGCGAGGUGCUGCAUGGUNGUCGUCAGCUCGUGCCGUGAGGUGUCGGCUUAAGUGCCAUAACGAGCGCAACCCCUAUCGACAGUUACUAACGGGUCAAGCCGAGGACUCUGUCGAGACUGCCGGCGCAAGCCGCGAGGAAGGUGGGGAUGACGUCAAAUCAGCACGGCCCUUACGUCCGGGGCGACACACGUGUUACAAUGGCAGGUACAGAAGGCAGCCAGUCAGCAAUGACGCGCGAAUCCCGAAAACCUGUCUCAGUUCGGAUUGGAGUCUGCAACCCGACUCCAUGAAGCUGGAUUCGCUAGUAAUCGCGCAUCAGCCAUGGCGCGGUGAAUACGUUCCCGGGCCUUGUACACACCGCCCGUCAAGCCAUGGAAGCCGGGAGUACCUGAAGCAUGCAACCGCAAGGAGCGUACGAAGGUAAUACCGGUAACUGGGGCUAAGUCGUAACAAGGUAGCCGUACCGGAAGGUGCGGCUG